GCCCCCCCCCGCGCGACGUGGCGGCGUGCCUAAUACAUGCAAGUCGAGCGAGCAGAACCAGCAGAUUUACUUCGGUAAUGACGCUGGGGACGCGAGCGGCGGAUGGGUGAGUAACACGUGGGGAACCUGCCCCAUAGUCUAGGGAUACCACUUGGAAACAGGUGCUAAUACCGGAUAAUAAAGCAGAUCGCAUGAUCAGCUUAUAAAAGGCGGCGUAAGCUGUCGCUAUGGGAUGGCCCCGCGGUGCAUUAGCUAGUUGGUAAGGUAACGGCUUACCAAGGCAAUGAUGCAUAGCCGAGUUGAGAGACUGAACGGCCACAUUGGGACUGAGACACGGCCCAAACUCCUACGGGAGGCAGCAGUAGGGAAUCUUCCACAAUGGACGCAAGUCUGAUGGAGCAACGCCGCGUGAGUGAAGAAGGUUUUCGGAUCGUAAAGCUCUGUUGUUGGUGAAGAAGGAUAGAGGUAGUAACUGGCCUUUAUUUGACGGUAAUCAACCAGAAAGUCACGGCUAACUACGUGCCAGCAGCCGCGGUAAUACGUAGGUGGCAAGCGUUGUCCGGAUUUAUUGGGCGUAAAGCGAGCGCAGGCGGAAGAAUAAGUCUGAUGUGAAAGCCCUCGGCUUAACCGAGGAAUUGCAUCGGAAACUGUUUUUCUUGAGUGCAGAAGAGGAGAGUGGAACUCCAUGUGUAGCGGUGGAAUGCGUAGAUAUAUGGAAGAACACCAGUGGCGAAGGCGGCUCUCUGGUCUGCAACUGACGCUGAGGCUCGAAAGCAUGGGUAGCGAACAGGAUUAGAUACCCUGGUAGUCCAUGCCGUAAACGAUGAGUGCUAAGUGUUGGGAGGUUUCCGCCUCUCAGUGCUGCAGCUAACGCAUUAAGCACUCCGCCUGGGGAGUACGACCGCAAGGUUGAAACUCAAAGGAAUUGACGGGGGCCCGCACAAGCGGUGGAGCAUGUGGUUUAAUUCGAAGCAACGCGAAGAACCUUACCAGGUCUUGACAUCUAGUGCCAUCCUAAGAGAUUAGGAGUUCCCUUCGGGGACGCUAAGACAGGUGGUGCAUGGCUGUCGUCAGCUCGUGUCGUGAGAUGUUGGGUUAAGUCCCGCAACGAGCGCAACCCUUAUUAUUAGUUGCCAGCAUUAAGUUGGGCACUCUAAUGAGACUGCCGGUGACAAACCGGAGGAAGGUGGGGAUGACGUCAAGUCAUCAUGCCCCUUAUGACCUGGGCUACACACGUGCUACAAUGGGCAGUACAACGAGAAGCGAGCCUGCGAAGGCAAGCGAAUCUCUGAAAGCUGUUCUCAGUUCGGACUGCAGUCUGCAACUCGACUGCACGAAGCUGGAAUCGCUAGUAAUCGCGGAUCAGAACGCCGCGGUGAAUACGUUCCCGGGCCUUGUACACACCGCCCGUCACACCAUGGAAGUCUGCAAUGCCCAAAGCCGGUGGCCUAACCUUCGGGAAGGAGCCGUCUAAGGCAGGGCAGAUGACUGGGGUGAGCAAAAAAGGGGG
rnacentral:rRNA from 1 species